UACGAAGGAUGCAAGCGUUAUCCGGAUUUAUUGGGUUUAAAGGGUGCGUAGGCGGUUCUAUAAGUCAGUGGUGAAAUCCGGCAGCUCAACUGUCGAUGUGCCAUUGAUACUGCAGAACUUGAGUACAGACGAGGUAGGCGGAAUUGACGGUGUAGCGGUGAAAUGCUUAGAUAUCGUCAAGAACACCGAUAGUGAAGGCAGCUUACUAGACCGUAACUGACGCUGAUGCACGAAAGUGUGGGGAUCAAACAGG
rnacentral:rRNA from 1 species